UACGAAGGGUGCAAACGUUGCUCGGAAUUACUGGGCGUAAAGCGCACGUAGGCGGCUUAGAAAGUUGGAUGUGAAAUCCCUCGGCUCAACCAAGGAAGUGCAUCCAAAACUGCUGAGCUUGAGUACUUAAGAGGAUCGCGGAAUUCCCGGUGUAGAGGUGAAAUUCGUAGAUAUCGGGAGGAACACCAGUGGCGAAGGCGGCGAUCUGGGAAGAUACUGACGCUGAGGUGCGAAAGCGUGGGGAGCAAACAGG
rnacentral:rRNA from 1 species